rnacentral:lncRNA from 1 species
GAGUAUGCAAGCUUUAGCAAUAAUAUGAUCAGUUGUUUUUUUUAGAAGACUGAUGUGAAGAUGUAUUUAUAGUGUCAAAAAACAUGCAUAACCGUUGCCUAAUUGCCAAUUAAGAAUUGCCGAUUUUGUGCUACGACAAUCGAUUGUCUAAUUGGCACAAUCGAUUGUUUUCCAAUCGUUCCAAAAAUCAUUCCCAGAUUUUACGCAGCAUAAUCGAUU